UAACACAUGCAAGUCGAACGAGAGAUGAGGAGCUUGCUCUUCAGAUCGAGUGGCGAACGGGUGAGUAACGCGUGAGGAACCUGCCUCAAAGAGGGGGACAACAGUUGGAAACGACUGCUAAUACCGCAUAAGCCCACGGCUCGGCAUCGAGCAGAGGGAAAAGGAGUGAUCCGCUUUGAGAUGGCCUCGCGCCCGAUUAGCUAGUUGGUGAGGUAACGGCCCACCAAGGCGACGAUCGGUAGCCGGACUGAGAGGUUGAACGGCCACAUUGGGACUGAGACACGGCCCAGACUCCUACGGGAGGCAGCAGUGGGGAAUAUUGCACAAUGGGGGAAACCCUGAUGCAGCGACGCCGCGUGGAGGAAGAAGGUCUUCGGAUUGUAAACUCCUGUUGUUGAGGAAGAUAAUGACGGUACUCAACAAGGAAGUGGCGGCUAACUACGUGCCAGCAGCCGCGGUAAAACGUAGGUCACAAGCGUUGUCCGGAAUUACUGGGUGUAAAGGGAGCGCAGGCGGGAGAACAAGUUGGAAGUGAAAUCCAUGGGCUCAACCCAUGAACUGCUUUCAAAACUGUUUUUCUUGAGUAGUGCAGAGGUAGGCGGAAUUCCCGAUGUAGCGGUGGAAUGCGUAGAUAUCGGGAGGAACACCAGCGGCGAAGGCGGCCUACUGGGCACCAACUGACGCUGAGGCUCGAAAGUGUGGGUAGCAAACAGGAUUAGAUACCCUGGUAGUCCACACCGUAAACGAUGAUUACUAGGUGUUGGAGGAUUGACCCCUUCAGUGCCGCAGUUAACACAAUAAGUAAUCCACCUGGGGAGUACGACCGCAAGGUUGCAACUCAAAUGAAUUGA
rnacentral:rRNA from 1 species